ACGACCCCCACUGCACUUCUCCAGUGAAGCCUGUUAAAACCGAAAUCGGAAACAAGUGUCACGUGAAAGUUCGGUAUGCCCCAGUUUCAGCGCGGAUUACUUCCCGGCACACAUUUCAUGGCCUUCAGUCACGAGCAACUGUUCGCCGACUUUGUGAUCGAUUGCAAACUGAUCAGAUAAUCGCAUUCAGAGGGGGAAUAGCCACCUUUUCUCCUCUUCGGCCUAAUGACCGGACAAAGGUUGACGAGGAUCGUUCACACUUCAACUUCACUGCACAUGCACUAGGACUAUGAAAUUGGCCCCUGGUUCCUGCUCUCCCUCUGUCCAAAAGUCACAGUGAAUGUGAUAGAGAGAGACCAGAUGGCAGCCCAAUUUGAGCUCUUGGCACCAGGUGACUCACCACACUCUUCUGCUUACGCACAAAGUGUAAACCUGUCUCUGU